rnacentral:lncRNA from 1 species
CUAAAUUAUCAUACAAUCAGAUUAAGUUGGUGGAACUAAAACAGGGCGCAUUACCUCAAACAGCCAGCAUUUACAAGAACCAAAUUGAUUUUUUUUUCUUACAAAAGUCAGGCAACUUCCAAAUUAAGUCACUUUUUACCAUAUACCCUGGAGAAUAACAUGGCCCGACACACCACACGUCCCACUUAUCUAGUUCAAGCGAGUAACAUAACGUGAGAAACUGCACUGUGUAAUUCCUUUAUUUUCUGCAUAUUAGUGCUUUACCAACACUACAACCAUAAAGAACACAAUUCCAAGUACUGUACUUUUUAGUUUGGGGAGAUCACAGUCUACAGACUCAUUUACUUAUAUUAAACAAGAUUAACCUCAUUCAAAACUUACUGCAGUUUAUAAAUUCACAUAAAUACAGAAAUGGAUGCAAUUAAACAACUUCAGGAUCUUAUUUUUAAAAUUCUUAGAUAAUUUUUUCUGCAGGCUAUAAUUACCUGCUCCAGUCACCAAUGGUUAUUGUUCAAUUUAACUACAUCAAUUAUAAACCUCUUAUAUCCUUAAAGAAAAUUUUAAGUGAAAAUUACAAUUUCUUACCAAAAGGUUUAGGGUUUUCCAAAUUUCAAAUAUUUGCUUCCCCCUCCCCCCUUUCCAGUCAAACAUUUCAAAUAAACUAAAAAUAACCACAUCUCACCUGCAACAUUCAAUAAUAGCAAUCACUUGAUGUAUAAAAUUUUAACUAUGCCCCCAGUUAUUUUAAGACACAAAAAAAUGGCUGCCUACCAAUCUGUCUUCACAAGUUAGAAAUACUACAUUUAAGAUUUAACAUGAGGGUUUCAAGUUUCCUCCAGUUUAGGCAUUUAUACCUUUGUGCUUGUUUUGUUUCAGGAUGUUACUAUAGCAUUGAUAUUGGAUAACCCAUAUUUAUAUACUUUAAAAUGCAAUCAUUUGAAACACUAAAAAUUACAUUUAUGGUGGAGCUUUGGAAAUUUUAGAAAGCAACCAGUGUUCUUAGAUGUGUUUAUCAGCCUCAUUUCUAGAGCUCUUUCUACUAAAGUGAAACUGAGAACUUCGUACUUUAGUUGUAUCCUGAAAUCAAAAAAAUCCCUCUGCACCAACAGGAGCCUACAUGAGAAUACCCUUUUGCAUCUGCUUUAAGUAAAAUGUUUGUUAAGAGUUUUACUUUGAAUAGUUCAUUUUUUUAUAGUCUUACACUUCUCAUACAUCUUUGGUAAAAGCUCCAUAUUACAAUAUUACUCAUUAUUUGCCACUGUGGGCUAAGUUUACUAUACUGGUCUUAGAUAUAAAAGGUCACAUUUGAAAUUACUAAGUUAGAACUCAUAAGGAAGGGGGGGGAAGGCCUUAAAUAUAAAAGACAAACGGCAGUUUGAUUAAGCAAUAAUUUUCAGUUUACUAGAUGAAACAGACUUGCAACAUAGUCUGCAUGAAUGCAAAAUAAG